rnacentral:rRNA from 1 species
GAUCAUGGCUCAGAACGAACGCUGGUGGCGUGUCUUAUACAUGCAAGUCGAGCGAGGCAGCAAUGCCGAGCGGCGAACGGGUGAGUAACGCGUAAGCAAUCUCGCCCCAUAUCAGGAAAUACCCGUGCCAACGCGCGGUUAAUGUCCAGGAGAGUGGCCUUCCGCAUGGAGGGUUGACUAGAGAUUUAUCGGUAUGGGAUGAGCUUGCGUCCGAUUAGCUAGUUGGCGGGCAACGGCCCACCAAGGCGACGAUCGGUAGCCGGCCUGAGAGGGUGAUCGGCCACAUUGGGACUGAGAUACCGGCCCAGACUCCUACGGGAGGCAGCAGUAGGGAAUAUUGCGCAAUGGGGGAAACCCUGAUGCAGCAACGCCACGUGUGGGAAGAAGCAUUUCGGUGUGUAAACCACUGUCAUGAGGGAAUAAGGCCCUUAUUCGUAAGGGAUUGAAUGUACCUUGAGAGGAAGCACCGGCAAACUUCGUGCCAGCAGCCGC